rnacentral:lncRNA from 1 species
CCUGGCUCAAUCUCUAGUACCAAUAAAAUAAAAUAAAAUAAAAGCACGCAUACUCGAAUACUCGCAGCUCCAGAAGCAUCUCCCUGGCUGGUGGUAUCCGACAGGGUUCAGCAGCCAGAGCCCGCGCUCCGGGAGGCCUGAGCACCCCAGGUUGCAGGGACCUUGGGGCGUUGUCUUUAGCGGCUGUCCCUCCUCUGUGCAGCCCGGAAUCCACCGUUUUUGAAUGUGGAGAGGAUGGAGAAAGAGGGAACUCAGAAAGAUCACGCCUGUCAUCUGGUGCUCGGGAGGCUGAGGCAGGAGGAUCGGCGCGAGUUCGAGGCCAAACUGGGCUACAUAGUGAGUUCAAGACCAGCUUGGACUCUGUAAGGAUACCUUGUUUCAAAUCAACGUCUCCCCCCUCCCCCCGCCAUCAAUUUUUAAAAAGAACAGCCCGAAGGGGAGACGGCAGGGCACCCCGGGGGCUUGGUGAAUGGGGUGGCGCAAAGGGUAGCGCCCAGGAAGAGGACGCGGCGGGACCUCAGCAGGUGCUCAGUGGCGACGCGCGCCCGGGGUCCCGCAGGUCCUCGUCCCCGUCCCCAGGCGAGGGGGUGCGCGGCCAGUUCUUCCCGGCUGGGCUUUGCGCCCGCGGCGGGAGCUCUCCCCAGCCGGCUCCCUUGCUCUUCAAUUGCCGCUGGCAGAAGUUACCUCCGAAGUCCUUUCCACCCCGCAGGAGGGCGAUUUCCUUUUCCUGCCGCGAGUUUAACUUCUUGGCCAGGUGAGAUGGUGCACAGCUGUAAUCCCAGAGGCUGAGGCAGGAGGAUCACUGUGAGUUCGAGACCAGCCUGGGCUAUAUAGUGAGUUCCAGGUCAGUCUCAACUACAUAGUGAGACCCUGCCUCAAAAAAACAAAAACAAGAGUUUAACUUCUUUGAGACUAAAUCAUUUGAGUGUAUAAAAGACCAGAAAGGCAAAAUAGAAAACAGAAGCAGUAAACUUACUGCUCAGUGAACACUGCUAUUUCCGUUUUAGUAUAUUUAGCCUAAUUUGGUUUUCUGGAUUUGCUUUCUCCAGAGCACACCGCUUCCACAACUUUUCCAUAGUCCCUCACACUGUGACUUUCCUGGGUUGUUUAGUAUGUUAUAAAUAUUUUCUCACAUAAGUUAACAUUCUUCCACAAAAUUAUGUCUGGGGGCGGGGGAUGUAGCUCAGUGGUGCCACCGCCUGCCUUGCAAGCACAGGGUUGUGAGUUCAAUCCCCGGUAUCCCCCCCCAAAAAAAAUAAAUAUAUAUAUAUAUAAUGAAUGUUUCACAGUGUAUAAACUUUAAUUAAUCUGUAUUAAAUAUUUCCUAUUUCAUUGCUAUUUUAAGUAAGUGGGCCAAAAUUAUACUUAAGUCUACUUAAAUCUGGUAAUUUCCUUUAUAUUUUUUCAAAAUCUUUUUGAGGGGUAGGGCAUGUAUAGUACUCUGGGUUUGAGUUCUAGCACUGACAAAAAGCCAAGAUUUUGAUAUUUUUGUCUGCUUGAGAAAUAUGCAAGUUAUACUCCCUGUUUGGUCACAGAUUGUUUUUUCCCUUUAAAAUGGAGGGUCAUGUUAUCUUGGCCAGGUUGGCCCCACGCUCCUGGGCUCUAGUGAUCCUCCUGCCUCAGCCUUCCAAGCAGUUGGGACUCUAAGGCACAUGCUUAACACACAGAUAUACUUGUAAGACAACAGAAGUCUUACCACCAGUUAAGUCUUUCAUCGUAGCUUCUUGGGGCACAUGUGUAGGGAUUUUUUUUUCCCCUAAGAGAUGGCAAUUUGCAAUCAAACUGAGAACAUACAAGGACUUGUGUGUGAUCCUCCUGCCUCAGCCUUCCAAGCAGUUGGGACUCUAAGGCACAUGCUUAACUCACAGAUAUACUUGUAAGACAACAGAAGUCUUACCACCAGUUAAGUCUUUCAUCGUAGCUUCUUGGGGCACAUGUGUAGGGAUUUUUUUUUCCCCUAAGAGAUGGCAAUUUGCAAUCAAACUGAGAACAUAAACAAGGACUUGUGGUUUUGCUGCUAGGAAGCUUUCUAUCCACAGCACACGCCUUCCAUCUCCUCGGUGCAAAGCAAAGCGUGUCUCUCGUGCUCCUCCCUGCAUCUGUACUCGCUCCGUCAGGACUCCUGGGUCUAUUCUGCUUUAAGUGCUACCCUGAAUCAACGAGCUGAGCUUUGCUCAGCAUUUCCAUCUGGUAUCGCAGUGAUUUCUCUGUCCAUACGGCCCCCCCUAGACUGUAGACUCUAACUACCUGAGGCUGCAGACCUCCAUCAAAUUCACAGUUGCACCCGUUAAGCUCCUCCACGUACUAAGUGCACUCCUGUAUGUUACCUGGAUGCAUAAAACAUCUUGUUUCUUUGUGUGUGUGUGUGUGUGUACCAGGGAUAGAACUCAGGUCCUUGCGCUUUUGAGGAGGGCGGUGGAACCACUGAACUCAAUCCCCAGCCAAACAUCUUGUUUCUUUAUGGGUUGGUUUUUUGUUUUUGUUUUUGUUUUUGUUUUUUAAUUUGGUGCUUUUCUUUUCCUUCUGUUGGAGACAAGGUAUCUUGAUUCAUUUCAGCCUGAACUACAUAGCAAGACACCAUCUUAUUUAUACACACAAAAUAAAUAUGUACAUAUACAGAUGUUUAAGUAUAAUAAUACAUUAUUUUUAUCUAUAUCAUCUAUAGGCAUUAAGAAUUAUACUUCUAGUUAGUAGCCGGGCCUGGUGACGCACGCCUGUAAUCCCAGCACUCGAGAGGCUGACGCAGGAGGAUCGCUGUGAGUUUGAGACCAGCCUGGGCUGCAUAGUUCCAGGUUAGUCUCAACUACAUAGUGAGACCCUGUCUCAAAAAAACAAACAAACAAACAAAAAAAAAAAUCCAUGUUUGAUUUAACAUAUAAAUGCCAAAAAAAAUUUUUGGCGGCUCUGAGAAUCAAACCCAGGACCUUCUGAGACUG